rnacentral:rRNA from 1 species
AAACCAGCACCUCAAGUGGUCAGGAGGAUUAUUGGGCCUAAAGCAUCCGUAGCCUGCUCUGUAAGUUUUCGGUUAAAUCUGUACGCUCAACGUACAGGCUGCCGGGAAUACUGCAGAGCUAGGGAGUGGGAGAGGUAGACGGUACUCGGGAGGAAGUGGUAAAAUGCUUUGAUCUCUCGAUGACCACCUGUGGCGAAGGCGGUCUACCAGAACACGUCCGACGGUGAGGGAUGAAAGCUGGGGGAGCAAACCGGAUUAGAAACCCCGGUAGUCC